GAUGAAGACGUAGCGAAAUGCGAUACUUGGUGUGAAUUGCAGAAUCCCGUGAACCAUCGAGUCUUUGAACGCAAGUUGCGCCUCAAGCCAUUAGGUUGAGGGCACGUCUGCCUGGGCGUCACAUAUCGUUGCCUGAUGCCAGUUUCCUCGUGAUGGGUGACUGUGCAGGGCGAAUGAUGGCUUCCCGUGAGCAUUGUUGCCUCAUGGUUGGUUGAAAAUUGAGUCCUUGGUAGGGAGCGCCGUGAUAGAUGGUGGUUGAGUGACGAACGAGACCCAAUCAUGUGAGACCCCUACCGAAUUUGGCCUUCAUGACCCACAUGCGUCUUUGGAACGCUCAUGACGAGACCUCAGGUCAGGCGGGGCUACCCGCUGAGUUUAAGCAUAUCAAUAAGCGGAGGA
rnacentral:misc_RNA from 1 species